rnacentral:lncRNA from 10 species
UGGUUUGGUGAAUUUCUAUAUUGGUACCAUUUGAGUCCUUUGUCUUCCUCUUUUUUUGUGAUUGAUUUACCAGUGAGUCUUAUAAUUUCAUGUGUUUUCAUGUGGUAAAUAGUGUCCUUUUGUUUCCAGUUUAGGAUUCCUCAAGCAUUUCUUUUAGGUCUGGUCUAGUGUUAACAAAUUCAUUCAGCAUUUUCUUGUCUGGGAAUGGCUUUAUUUCUCCUUAAUUUAUGAAGGAUAAUUUUGCUGGAUAUAGUGUUCUUGGGUGGCACUUUUUUUUUUAUUGUGUUCCUUUGGAGGUAUCUUUUUUUGUUUUUCAUGCUUCCUGUAUCUUUAUGUUGAUAUUUCCACAUCAGGUGUAACAUUCACUUCUUCUCAUUUUUGAAUUUACUUUUGUGUGUAUGUUGUGGGGGUGGGGCUUUUUCCUGAAAUUGUAUCUAUGGUUUUGGAUGGGUAGGGGGCUUUGCCUUUGAUUUUGAGUGCUUGUAGUAGUGUAGUCUCUGUAUGAUUUAUUUGGCCGUAAACUGUGUUAGUGGUAUCCAUGAUUCCCUUGAUGGGUUAGGGUGAGUUUAUUAGUGGAAACGGUGCUAAAAUUGUGUUGGGGACUGGUAUGCCAGCUAGGCCAGUCUUCAGACCCCAGUGGUGGCAGCAGUGGGCUACGUAUGCCCAGGGUAAUAUAUUCUGACACCUGUGUUGGUGGUUAUUAUAAGGCCAAUUAAUGGACUUCCAGUUGGCUUGCCCAGAUGCCAGUAGUGGCAGCAGUGGAACUGGCAGGUGGGCAAGUUCUCAGGCCCCUGGGAAGUCAGUAUGGGCAAUGGCAGAAGCAGUGGCAGGAUGAUUCUUUGGGUCCUGAGCAGUGUUCAUUGAUAUUGACAGUGGCUACAAUGGGCUAAGUGGGUCAGUCUCCAGGCCCAUUGGUGGUGUUUAUAGGUAGAUGCUAGCUAAAAUAGUAGCAGCCAGGAGUUUAGGUCCAAUCUCAGGCCCUCAGAAUGAGGGCUCAGGUAUUCAAGGUGGUGAACUGAGUUGGACAAUCCACAGAACCCUGGGCUAUGUGCUCUGUUUUAGAGGUGGGAUAUAAGCCAAACUGAAUGGGCUUCUUUUUAGGCCCCCAGUGGUGAGAGCAGGCACCAGCCGUGGUGAGUGGGGGCACAACAAUCCUUAGACCCUAGGUAGAGUGCUCAGGUGAGAGUCAGUAGCAGCCACACCAAGACUGUGUCACCGGAGAGAGUGGGGUCAUCUUUGGUGGCCACAACUUGGGCUGACAGGUAAGCAAUGUCAUCCUUUUCAUACCCCGGUACUGACAGGGUGUUCUCCCUUGCUCUGGUAGCAGUAGCUGGUGUCUAGCUCACACCCUGCCCUGAUUGCAGGAGCCCUCACCCAGCUCCUGACUAAGUCCCAUUGACAACUCAUGUGUUAUUCACAUUUGUGUCUCAAAUCCCAGCAGCACUUACUUCCCAAUACUGGCCUCUACAGACCAUGCCUCCCUUGUUUCUUAGGCUCAGCUGUGGGAAUGCUCCUAGCUCACUUCUCUGUCCCAGAAGCAACAGCCUGAGUAUCCACAAUGCCUUGUCCUGGCAACACUGUGCCCCAUGACAGUGUGCUGUUUACCAGAGCGUAGGCUUGAAAAUACCAUCUUGUUGUAGCUGCUUAGGUCUCAGAAAGCGCGUGGGACCCAGUGCGAGAUCCCUCCCUGGAGCAGUUCCAUCCCAUGGUCUCCUGGAAGCUCCCUAUGUUACUUUCAGGGCUUGGAAGGGUUGAGGGACUCUCCCAUGGGCAGGAUUGCAUGAUUUCAUGGUAGGAAUGUGGGCCAUUGAAAUUCUCUCAUUCACACUUCCCCUACAUCGGGAGAUUACUCCUGGCUCCCAGCCACUCCCUGUCAGGGAGGCUGCCGUUUUCCCUUCUCCUUCUAUACUUUGGUGUUUCCUGUCACUUCUAUGUUGAAAUCCAG